rnacentral:lncRNA from 1 species
AUCCAACCGAAACCUGGUUCCCCGACUCCCAUCCUCCCUGCCGGGCAGGAAUUGUUUUCCUAUUACAUCCUUCUCUCGCACCUUCCCCGCUUCCCGCAGCAGCCUCCACUGUCCUCACCGUCCCCAUCCUCAUCCAUGGCGAAAUCCUCGCCCCCGGCCUCAUGAAGAUCCAGCACGUCCGCCAUCUUGCCUCCCUUCUUGCUCUCGUCCGUGCCGCUCAGGCACUAGGCACCUCGGGAAACUGUCGCGGAGGGGAAAGGUCGCUAGUCAAGUUGACCAAUCAAAAGCUAAGUCUAAGUCCCGCCCCCGGCGCAGCGAAAAUACGCAAUGGAGGCGGGCCUUAUUCGGGAAGAUGCCGGAAGUGUUCCUGUAGCCAUCUUGAGCAAGUGGUCAGCUGAACAGAGUGGCACUGUUAGGGACAAGGUAACGGGUGGCUGCAGGCAGUGCCCUAUUAAGUAGGGCAGCCGAGGAGAAAUACUACUGCCAGCGGAGCACAGCCGAAUUUCUUUAUUAGAGGAUUGUGUACCGUCUCCU